AUUGAACGCUGGCGGCAGGCUUAACACAUGCAAGUCGAGCGGAGAGAGGUAGCUUGCUACUGAUCUUAGCGGCGGACGGGUGAGUAAUGCUUAGGAAUCUGCCUAUUAGUGGGGGACAACAUUUCGAAAGGAAUGCUAAUACCGCAUACGUCCUACGGGAGAAAGCAGGGGAUCUUCGGACCUUGCGCUAAUAGAUGAGCCUAAGUCGGAUUAGCUAGUUGGUGGGGUAAAGGCCUACCAAGGCGACGAUCUGUAGCGGGUCUGAGAGGAUGAUCCGCCCCACUGGGACUGAGACACGGCCCAGACUCCUACGGGAGGCAGCAGUGGGGAAUAUUGGACAAUGGGCGCAAGCCUGACCCAGCCAUGCCGCGUGUGUGAAGAAGGCCUUAUGGUUGUAAAGCACUUUAAGCGAGGAGGAGGCUACUUUAGUUAAUACCUAGAGAUAGUGGACGUUACUCGCAGAAUAAGCACCGGCUAACUCUGUGCCAGCCGCCGCAGUAAGAC
rnacentral:rRNA from 1 species